GACGAACCGUCCAACCGUUAUUCGGAAUUACUGGGCUUAAAGGGUGCGUAGGCGGCGCGGAAAGUUGGGUGUGAAAUCCCUCGGCUCAACCGAGGAACUGCGCCCAAUACUGCCGUGCUCGAGGGAGAUAGAGGUGAGCGGAACUUAGGGUGGAGCGGUGAAAUGCGUUGAUAUCCUAAGGAACACCGGUGGCGAAAGCGGCUCACUGGAUCUCUUCUGACGCUGAGGCACGAAAGCUAGGGUAGCAAACGGG
rnacentral:rRNA from 1 species